GAAAGAAAGAAAGAAAAAAGCGAGAAAAUGAUCCAAGCAAAUCCAACAGAAAUCAUAAAUCACAGGUUAAACAAAGAAAGCACACAAGCAAUAGAAAACGAAUCCAUAAGCGGUAACAAAAAGAGCCAUCAUAUCAUCUCGUAAAGCAUAAAAUCCCUUCAAUUCUUUAGAAAAAUGAAAUACAAUUGGAUAUCAUACUCCGAAGUUUUCAUUCAAAU
rnacentral:misc_RNA from 1 species